rnacentral:rRNA from 1 species
AUACGUAGGGUGCGAGCGUUGUCCGGAAUUACUGGGCGUAAAGAGCUCGUAGGUGGUUUGUCGCGUCGUCUGUGAAAUUCCGGGGCUUAACUCCGGGCGUGCAGGCGAUACGGGCAUAACUUGAGUACUGUAGGGGAGACUGGAAUUCCUGGUGUAGCGGUGAAAUGCGCAGAUAUCAGGAGGAACACCGGUGGCGAAGGCGGGUCUCUGGGCAGUAACUGACGCUGAGGAGCGAAAGCAUGGGUAGCGAACAGGAUUAGAUACCCUGGUAGUCCAUGCCGUAAACGGUGGGCGCUAGGUGUAAGGGUCUUCCACGACUUCUGUGCCGUAGCUAACGCAUUAAGCGCCCCGCCUGGGGAGUACGGCCGCAAGGCUAAAACUCAAAUGAAUUGACGGGG